rnacentral:rRNA from 1 species
AACGAACGCUGGCGGCAUGCCUAACACAUGCAAGUCGAACGAAACCUCCGGGCUUAGUGGCGCACGGGUGGGUACCGAGUGGGGAGUUGCCCUUAGGUACGGUAUCACUCCCUGUGAGGGGUCUUCAUGACGCAGAAUCUAUUCCCGCCAAAGAUCUUUUGCGUUUGGGUGGGCGCGCGUUAGUUUCGGUGGUUGGUAGGGUACAAGCAUGUCAAGGCGACGUUGCUUAGCUGGUCGGAGAGGAUGAUCAGCCACACUGGGGCUAAGACACAGCCCAGACUCGUACGCAAGGCAGCAGAGGGUAAUAUUGUACGAUGGGCGAAGGCGUGAUCCAGCAAUGCCGCGUGAGUGAUGAAGGCCUUAGGGUAGUAAAGCUCUUUUACCCGAGAUGAUAAUGACAGUACCGGGAGAAUAAGCACCGGCUAACUCCGUG